rnacentral:lncRNA from 1 species
UAUACAUGCAUAUUCUUAAAUAUAACUUUUAUGUUUAAUUAACUCAAAUUUAUAUUAAAUAUUGAUACAAAAAUGAAAAUUUACAAUAUUAAUAAAAUUUUAUUUUAAAAUAUAAUAUAUAUUUAUCUGUUAAAAAAUAUUUUAAAUUUUAUUUACUGCACAUGGAGCACGAAGACGCCUAGUGUCUAUUAUACCUCACGUAUGUAAUUAACAAAUUA